rnacentral:rRNA from 1 species
UACGGAGGGGGCUAGCGUUGUUCGGAAUUACUGGGCGUAAAGCGCACGUAGGCGGCUUUGUAAGUUAGAGGUGAAAGCCCGGGGCUCAACCCCGGAAUUGCCUUUAAGACUGCAUCGCUAGAAUUGUGGAGAGGUAAGUGGAAUUCCGAGUGUAGAGGUGAAAUUCGUAGAUAUCGGGAGGAACACCAGUGGCGAAGGCGGCGACCUGGGCCAAUAUUGACGCUGAGGUGCGAAAGCGUGGGGAGCAAACAGG